ensembl:ncRNA C07A12.11 ncRNA
UGAUUCCCUCCGACCCCCUUGUUCGAUCGGUUAGACAACUUUGAAUAUAAAAAACAUGGUAAGAUAGAAAGGAAGAGGACAACUCCCACUUGUCGAUGGUAGUGUUGUUUUGCUUGAGGAACGAAGAAGACGAUCGCUGUCUACUGCUGCCAACUUCCUUAGACGGUUUGCACUAGUGAAGGACAUAUAGCAAUUUUCGGUU